AACAGCUGCAACCAUUUACCAUUAGCAAAAAAAUGCCCUUUUUGAAGGCAAAUUUAUUAUUUUUUUAAAAGUGUUGCUUAAUCCCUCUCCAAUAAAUUUGCAGAGAUCAUGUGUUAAUAUGGGACCACGGAUUUCAUAUGUUGCACAGAUUAACUGUAGGCAAGGAAUUUUUAUUCCCCUAGCAGCAAGCUGCUUGCAGUAAUAUUGUCAAUGAACACACUGGAUUUCCAGUGUGUAUUAACCCUAGAUAUAUUUUACGCUUUCUUUUAGGACUACUGUUUUUAUAUGUGGCAGCAGAAUGUUUCUGCACAAGUAAGUUUUUGAUAAGUGAUCUGAAAAGCCCAUUUCAUCCAUCCUACCAAGAUAAGCCUAAUGAAGGAGAUUAAAUUAAUUUGUUUAUCCUAAUAAACCAAACUUGUAUGACAGGACAUAACUUCUAGUAAAUUCUAGGAACAGAUAAGAACUAUACAUGCUAAAGGAAUAGGGUGGCACAAGGACAGAGACAAGUUAUCCAAAAAAAGAUGCAAAGCUGGAAAUUGUUAAAAAAAAAAAGCUUGUAAUAAUGAAAACAAAGACGAACUGAAGCAAAAAUCCCUAACCACUUUAAGGGAAAAACCUGGGAGGGGAUAAUGGAAAAAAGCAAUGAAAGCAGAUGAAGAAUACAUGAAAGCCAGGGAAGGCUAAGACAAUUUUCUGUGGAUAUUUUUCAAUUCUCCAAAAGGAGCAUGAAGGCAGGACAAAACAGCCAAGAUCAAAUGACAGCUGAAGGACUGGUGUCAAAGAAAACAGACCAUGAACAGAUUUACUGACUUAACUGGACUAGCCACAAGGUUGGAAUUAUGUAUGUGCUUCAGUAUCGUGCCAGCCCACAGUUUCAACAGAAACAACAGACAGCCUGUUCCACCUAGUACCAAGUGCAACCAUGCCUUCUGAAAGGGUUUGAUGUCAAACAACGUAUUCAUGAUUACUGUUCAUCUUUGUCCAAGAUGUGGCAGUCAGCUCACAUCCAACACUUAAGAGCAUCAUGACAAAUAGCUGUUUCUUGAAGUGUUUACUCAACACGGUUGAAAGGCUUUUUUCAGCCCUGGCUCAAUGGGAUUUCAGCCUUGAGCCAGAAACACUGUGAUCUUUGGGGGCUUACAAAGCAUGAGUGGCCUUACAAAAUCUAGGCAGUUUGCCAAAGGCUCUUUUUUUUUUUUUAAACUUUGUUGAACCGUGGUGGAAGGUUAAACAAUUCACACAGUUUUGAUUCUCCCUACCCCCAGUUUGCCUUGCACUUAGUGUCUUCUUGUCAAGAAGUAAAGUAUCUUCAUAAUGGGAUGGAUGGAACCAUUUCAGCUAUUACACAGCAGUGAUGGUAUUGCAGGAAAUCUGAAACAAAUGUUAACUUCAACCCUUUUCAGCUCAAAAGAAAGAAGUAUAUUUACCAUGCUGAGAAGUUUUCAUAUCACAUGGUAUCAAUUUUCUUAUGGUUCAUUUGAAAUAAUAGAAAAAAAAAAAAAAUCCAUCCCCAGCUUUAUGCUGUCUGAGAAUUGGAGAGCAGGAAGUGAACUGUUCAUGUCAAGGGGCAAGCCUCAGAAAUCUGACUCCAGGAGAAGAAUGCCUUGUUUCCAAAAGCACUAAUACACCCAUCAUACAGUGCAAGCAUGUUUUCAUACAUACAUUUUAAUUUAUGCAUGUUUUGUGGCAGAAAAGGUCCAUCACUUAAGAAUCAAUA